CUGCUCAUUUGAGAAUAAAUGCUUCACUUGUAGAUCACUCGAACAGGCUAGAACAAAGACCAUUUAACCAAUUAAUCAAAAUUACAGGACACUCAAACUUUUUGACGUGCAACUUUAGGUUGCUUUUUAAACAACGGAAAAGAGUAUAAAUUUCCCAUUGCAGUGCAAAUACUAGAAUGCUCUUUAAGCACACUUUAGCACUUUAGAUCAAUGAAACUUACCAAUUGAAAAUGUGCAUUUACUUACUAGAUCAAUGUGAAAAAAAGAUGAAACUUUUCUUGGCUCCAUGAGACACAUCUUGAGACAAACAUUGGAUACUGCUGGAACAUUACUAGCUGGUUAAAAGAUGCCAUCUAAGUAAGUAAAUCUGGUCUGAGCCCUGACAUCGGACACCCAAUAACCUCGAGCAGACAUGGCUGAAGGCCCAAAGAAUUCCUUCAUCGCAAACACGCAUGAAGAUAGCAGCAGAUAAAGGCAUCUCAAACACUGAGGAUGACAAGGCAGCAAUUUAACUCUAUUAUAAGAGAGGAUAUCUCACUUUAAAACAUUUUAGGCUUUGCUAAUAAAAACCUGAUGAGAAGCUGAAGACAGUGUCUUAAAUGCAGCCAAAACAACAUAUUUGCGGUGCAUUGGUUUAACCCUGUAGUUACCCUAAAGCCAUUUUCUGUUCAGUAAUUUGGGCAGAAUUUAAGUGGCUCCAAAAUAGGCACUAAUGAAAACAAAGGACUGGGUCUGAAGAUGGGUUUCGGCCCGAAACGUUGCCUAUUUCCUUCGCUCCAUAGAUGCUGCUGCACCCGCUGAGUUUCGCCAGCAUUUUUGUCUACCUUAGAUUUUCCAGCAUCAGCAGUUCCUUCGUAAACACUAAUAAAAACACCCAUUCUUUGCUUACUUAGACUUCACUGUGCUUUUGCUACUUUUAUUACCAUUCUCCCAUUGGUAACGCACACUCUCACUGAAACAGUUGUGCAUGAGAAGGCACUAAAUUCAUUUAAAUGGAAACACAUGAAAUGCACUGCUGUAAUUUUUGACAGAGAUUCAUGGAAAUUUACUACAACAGAGCUCUCGUGUUAUUUGUUUGACGUUUGUGGAGGGGGACAGGAUGGAAAUAGGUGUGUUAUAUGUGAGAUUGGUAACAUAUUAGAACAUCAGGCCAUGCUUCAGUUUGUACUGAGAGCAGAAGUUUGCACUGAACUGUGGACCAGUUCAUGGACUGUUUGCUGUGAUGUAAUGCCCCUGUCCCACUUAGGAAAUAUGAACGGAAACCUCUGGAGACUUUGCGCCCCACCCAAGGUUUCCGUGCGGUUCCCGGAGGUUCCCGGAGGUUUUUGUCAGUCUCCCUACCUGCUUCCACUACCUGCAACCUCUGGCAACCACUUGCAACCUCC